rnacentral:rRNA from 1 species
AGGACGAACGCUGGCGGCAUGCCUAAUACAUGCUAGUCGAACGGACGAGGAGGAGCUUGCUCCUCCAAGUUAGUGGCGGACGGGCGAGUAACGCGUGGGCAACCUGCCUCUCAGUGGGGAACAACAGUUGGAAACGACUGCUAAUACCGCAUAACGUACCGUUAUCGCAUGGUGAUGGUACCAAAGGAUUUAUUCGCUGAGAGAUGGGCCCGCGUCCGAUUAGAUAGUUGGUGGGGUAACGGCCUACCAAGUCGACGAUCGGUAGCCGAACUGAGAGGUUGAUCGGCCGCAUUGGAACUGAGAUACGGUCCAGACUCCUACGGGAGGCAGCAGUAAGGGAUAUUGCACAAUGGGCGAAAGCCUGAUGCAGCAAUGCCGCGUGAGGGAAGACGGUCUUCGGAUUGUAAACCUAAGUAGUCAGGGACGAUAAUGACGGUACCUGAAGAGUAAGCUCCGGCUAACUACGUGCCAGCAGCCGCGGUAAUACGUAGGGAGCGAGCGUUGUCCGGAAUUACUGGGUGUAAAGGGUGCGUAGGCGGGCCUGCAAGUCAGAUGUGAAAUACCGGGGCUUAACUCCGGGGCUGCAUUUGAAACUGUGGGUCUUGAGUGAAGUAGAGGCAAGCGGAAUUCCCAGUGUAGCGGUGAAAAUGCGUAGAUAUUGGGAGGAACACCAGUGGCGAAGGCGGGCUUGCUGGGCCUUUAACUGACGCUGAGGCACGAAAGUAUGGGGAGCAAACAGGAUUAGAUACCCUGGUAGUCCAUACCGUAAACGAUGAUUACUAGGUGUGGGGGGACUGACCCCCUCUGUGCCGCAGUUAACACAAUAAGUAUUCCACCUGGGGAGUACGACCGCAAGGUUGAAACUCAAAGGAAUUGACGGGGGCCCGCACAAGCAGUGGAUUAUGUGGUUUAAUUCGACGCAACGCGAAGAACCUUACCAGGAUUUGACAUCCAACUAACGAAGUAGAGAUACAUUAGGUGCCCUUCGGGGAAAGUUGAGACAGGUGGUGCAUGGUUGUCGUCAGCUCGUGUCGUGAGAUGUUGGGUUAAGUCCCGCAACGAGCGCAACCCCUAUUGUUAGUUGCUACGCAAGAGCACUCUAGCGAGACUGCCGUUGACAAAACGGAGGAAGGCGGGGACGACGUCAAAUCAUCAUGCCCCUUAUGUCCUGGGCUACACACGUAAUACAAUGGCCGUCAACAGAGGGAAGCAAAGCCGCGAGGUGGAGCAAAUCCCCAAAAACGGUCUCAGUUCGGAUUGCAGGCUGCAACUCGCCUGCAUGAAGCUGGAAUUAAUAGUAAUCGCGGAUCAGCAUGCCGCGGUGAAUAC